rnacentral:lncRNA from 1 species
AUUUAAGGGAAAAUUACACCCAAUACCCUCUAAAAUUAAUCAAUUUGGAAUAAUACCAUUAAAAUAAUCAAAACUUCUACUCCCGUAAUUAAUACGCUCAAAUUCUCCCACUUCUUCACCUGCACGUCCUAAACCUUCUUCCCCAAAUCUACACCGUCGUCUUCUUCAAUCAUAAAAAGUAGCUGGUUCUCUAUAGUUACAUUAUUUACCAAAACAUUUUUCUUCAGAUGAAAAUCUUUGAAGUCGUCGCUUAUCCGGUGAGAAUCCUUCGCUCCCUGUCUCGAUAUACAUACAUUUACGUAUGCAUAUAUUUUUUCAAUAUAUUUUUUGGCAUCUUUUGGUGUAGAUCUUAGAUUAUUUAUUCCAGUAGUGUAUGUGUGCAUUCGAUGGUUUUGAUUAGUUGUUGUGAUGAUCAGAGAAACGCUUGACGAUAGAUUAUAAAUAUUGAUUUGGCAAGUUCAUUUUUAUAGUAUAGAUUUUAGGGUGCGCUUUUUACUAUUGAAUUGAGGUUUUGCUCUUGAAGUUAGGAAAAUUGAAACGAUCUUUCACAAUUUCCAAUUCAACUACUUCAGUUCAGUAUUCCAACUUUCAAGCAUUUUAUAAUUUAUUUAUUUUUUAUUCAUUGGGAAAAAUUUGUAUUUCUAGGCUUUAAAUCCUUACAGUGAUUGCUUUAUUUAUUUAUUUUUUUCUUUUCCUGAAUGAAUGUAGGAAACAUAGAUUAUGUGGGAAAACAUUUUCUCUUGACCCAUUUGGAAAACAAGAUUUGUGAUAUGUAUCAUUAGAUUUUCAUGUGUUUGUUCUUGGACAAGGAAAUUGUAUACAUGUUAUUAUAUGCAAUUGAUUUUUUCAAUGGUGGAUUUAUAGAUGGAUUGGCAAGGACCAAAGCUAGCAGAGCACUUGAUGCAGCUGCUGCUGUUGCUUUUUGUAGUGCUGGCAUUCAUCAGGGGAUAUCUGUUGGUAUCAUUUUAGACAAUGCUGCUUAUAUAUGCAGCCGGUGUUAUAUUAACUUCUCUUAUUAUGGUUCCCAAUUGGCCAUUCUUCAAUGUCACACUCUCAAUUGGUUAGAUUCAAGUGAAGCUGAAAAGUACCCCAAGCCACAACCUGUUAAUUUGGGCACGAAGAGGAAAACACUUAAGAAGUAGGUCAUUUGAUUGACUACUUCUAACUGGGCUUUCUACAUUGAUUGAUGUUAAAUAUUAUUUCUCUUUUUAGGGUAUUUGUUACUUUUUGGAGUGUUUGUCACUUUUUUUAAGUUAUGUUACUUUACUCAACUGAUUCCAAGGUUUCGAUUGGUGUUUCG